UACGUAGGGUGCAAGCGUUGUCCGGAAUUAUUGGGCGUAAAGAGCUCGUAGGCGGUUUGUCGCGUCUGCUGUGAAAACUCGGGGCUUAACCCCGGGCCUGCAGUGGGUACGGGCAGACUAGAGUGCGGUAGGGGAGACUGGAAUUCCUGGUGUAGCGGUGAAAUGCGCAGAUAUCAGGAGGAACACCGGUGGCGAAGGCGGCAUCCUGGACCGAGAUUGACGCUGAGGCGCGAAAGCCAGGGGAGCAAACGGG
rnacentral:rRNA from 1 species